UUUUGAUAAACAAUUAGUACUAUUUUUCUGAACAAUACUACACAUCACUUUUAGAGUGCGUUUGGUUCGUGCUAUCUUUCUAAGAUUUCUAGUAAUUCAAUAGGAAUAAAAAAAUAUGACGGUGUUUAGCUAAACGUACUAAGUAAACUUAUUGGUAAUAUUAGAUUUACUUGGGAAUGAAAUGCAUCCCAAAGUACUAAUCUCAUUCCCUUGAGGGAAGAUGGAUAUUCUCAUAUUAAUGGAUUGGGAUAAUUAUAAUAUGUCUAAUCUCUUUUUUCCUUCCUACCGCCGGCUAGUUGGUAUUAUUUUUCUUUACACUCUAACCUCAUAUCUCUCUCUAANGAUGCCCUACCACAUGAUAGCUUAAGAGAGAUUUUUUUUUUAAAAAAAAAAAAAGAUAACAUACUGUACGUUUUGUUUAUUUUUUAAAAAAUAAAAUUAGCUGAAAAUAUGAAUCAAUUAGGAUUCGAACUUGAGAUCUCAGAUACCAAUGACCAAGUCCUUUGUCAUUUGCACUACGGACGGUCAGUGAUGGCUUAAGAGAUGUUGUGAGAGAGAAACAUCAACAACAGUACUAUUAAACUUGUAUUGCUAAUUUGCUAUGAUCUAUUGAUGCUAUCAAAAUUAAACUAAGGGCAGAGAGAGAGAGAGAGAGAGAGAGAGAGAGAGAGAGAUUGACUGAUAUAUAUGGAAAACACCCAAAAAUAGUAAUGUAGAGAUAGUAGUACCAUACAAAGGUUCUUUCAACACAGGUUGUUACUGUGGUUGAUUAGGUUGGAAUCAUCCUCCAAUAGAACAGCAGAGAACAGAAGCUGUGUUACAUUCCUUUAAAAGAAUGCUUGCAUUUGAAAAUUUUGGUUCCAAUUUGCUAGCUGGUCAGUGUCAGUAGUUGGAUCCACCUUUAAGAACGAGAGAGAGAGAGAGAGAGAGAGAGUAUAUCAUAUAUGUGCCCCUCUACCAACUCCUCAACUAAGGAAAGAAAAAGAGAUGUAUACAGAGUACUAAAUAACUGAGGUAUAGGAUCCAUUAGACUAAUUUUAAUUAAUAAUUAAGCAAAUAAUUGAUAAAUAGGAAGAGUGUAGGGGUGAGAAAAGCCUAAGAUGAGUCACAUGGGAUCUCUAUACUCUUAUUUGUUAUGAUGGAUCCAUCACGUGCUACGAAGUGUAGAAAAAUAGCUAGCUGGAUAAGGUUGGAUAUCUAGCGAAUGCCAUGCGGGAGCCCGGGGUGGCAAUCCCAUUUGGCCUAACUCUUAAAAUUAUUUUUUUACAUUGAUGAAAAGUGAAGCAUCAAAAAUGAUACUUUUAAAAAAUAAGAUCUUAUCUAUUAUUUGAUUUUCAAAGUGAAUAUAAAAAUUACUAUACAAAAAUAGGCUGAUAAAGUAAAUUAUAACUAAAUCUUAUUGUUUUUAAUUUCAGUUUAAAAAAUUCAAAAGUUACCGAAAAUAGAAGCUUAUUUAAGAAUUAAGAGAUUAUAUUUAAUCUUAUCUAUUAUUUGAUUUUCAAAGUGAAUAUAAAAAUUACUAUACAAAAAUAGGCUGAUAAAGUAAAUUAUAACUAAAUCUUAUUGUUUUUAAUUUCAGUUUAAAAAAUUCAAAAGUUACCGAAAAUAGAAGCUUAUUUAAGAAUUAAGAGAUUAUAUUUAAUCUUAACUUUAAUUUUGAAUUUAUUUUUAAAGGUAAAUUUCAUUUUAAAUUUGAAUUAAAAUCAUUAUCACAUUCUGAAAUUUUAUUUGAAAAUUCAAAUUCAACAUAAAAUUUUUUAAUUCAAAUUUGUGACUUUAUAUUUAAAUUUAAAUUUUUAAAUAUUUAUUUUUAUUUAAAUUUGAAUUCUAGAAUUUAAAUUUAAAUUUAAACUUUAAAAUUAAAAUUUUAAUCAAAUUAUCUUUAGCUAAGAACUCCAGUUUGAACUUUGAAUUCAAAUUGUCCCAACCAUAAAUUCAAAUUACUGAUUGAAAUUGAAAUUUAAAUUUAAAUUUAAAUUUAUAUUUAAAUUUAUAUUUUUUUAUUUAUAUUUAAUUUCAAUAUGAGUUUCAAUUUGAGCUUUGAAUUCAAGUUAUGAAUUCAAAUGUUCAACUCAAAUUGUAAUUUAAGCUCAAAUUUUAAUUUAAAUUUAAAUAUUAAUUCAAAUUGUGAAUUUACAUUUGAAUUCAAAAAUUAAUAUUAAAGAGUAAAUUAAAAUAUAUCUCAAAUUAUAAAUUCAAAUUAUGAAUUCAAAUUUUAAUAAAUGUUCUAAUUUCUAUGUUGAACUUUUAUUUUAGAAUUUAAUUUCACUUAUAAGUUAUAACUUAAACAUUAAAUUCAAAUUGUAAAUUUAUGUUCUUAAUUUUUAUUAUAAACUCAACUUAGAUUUAAGUUUUAAAUUUAAAUUGUAAAUUAAUUUGAAUUGUAGAUAUAAAUUUAAAUUUUUUAUUUAAAAUUGCGAGUAUAAGUAGGUUGUUUUAUAUUUUCACCUCUUUAUAUAUAAUUAAAUAAUCAAAAUUACAAAACUUGUUUCAUUUAUAGCCAACCAAACAAUAGAAUUAAAUUGUUUUAACUUCAGCCACUUUCCCCUUACAAAGCAAUAAUCAAAUGUUGAAAAUGGCAAACAAGUUUAAAACUUGUAAAUACGAGACGAAAUAAAAUUCUGAAUCUUAAAGCAGAAAUUCAAAAUUAAGCUUCUACCUUCACUACCAUAAAAAUAUAUAUAUCUUAUUUCCAUCUCAGCAAAUUAUUUUUUUCUAAUCAAUAUUGAUAUACGAGUAUCUUAUCUGUUGAUACGAAGUAUUCCGGUGAUCCUCACGAUCCGAGUCUGAGCUGUUGGAAUUGGAAUAGGUUGACAGUAGAUCACGAAAUUAUGUCUCAACAAUUCGAAUUUAUUUGAAGGAGUGACAUUUUGUUUUUGACCCUCAAUGAGCCAUAGAUCGAACCUAUCCAAUUUUUACAAUGCGCUGGUUGGCUUUUCACGAAUAAUGUAGUAGUCUCAUUAGACGUAAUCUCUCUUGGUAUUUCCGGAUAAUAGGUAGGAACAUAAACUGAAACAUUCUGGAGCUACAACCUUCACCCAAUUUUGAAUUGUCGAAACAAGUAGAUUUUGAUAACAAUUAGUACUAUUUUUCUGAACAAUCAUACACAUCACUUUUAGAGUGCGUUUGGUUCGUGGCUAUCUUCUAAGAUUUCUAGUAAUUCAUAGGAAUAAAAAAAUAUGACGGUGUUUAGCUAAACGUACUAAGUAAAUUAUUGGUAAUAUUAGGAUUUACUGUGGGAAUGAAAUGCAUCCCAAAGUACUAAUCUCAUUCCUUGAGGGAGAUGGAUAUUCUCAUAUUAAUGGAUUGGGAUAAUUAUAAUAUGUCUAAUCUCUUUUUUCCUUCCACCGCGGCUAGUUGGUAUUAUUUUUCUUUACACUCUAACCUCAUAUCUCUCUCUAACUUAUCUUUUUCUCUCUAAACUUCAA
rnacentral:lncRNA from 1 species